rnacentral:misc_RNA from 1 species
GGGCUGCUGCGUGGGUGAGAGAUCGACCGACCGACCGACACAGACACACGCUCAUACACACGGCAGGAAAGAGCGACACACACACGCCUUGCGACUCACUUGCACGAAACCGCGUCGCCUACUCGAGAGCGGUUCUUUUCUCCCUCUUUCUCCCGCAAACGGGCGGCCAAGAACACACCAUUUCUCGAGCGCAGACAGGGGCUGUCGCUGCGACUGCCGCGCGCUACAACGACAGCAAAGGUAUCCGUCCCCUUUUCUCCCUCUUCUCCACCUACCCCUACUCCGGUUCCAGACCUCCAUUUGCUGGCGGGCUUUCAUGUUUGAAGAGGCGCUCCGGCAAGCGCCGCGGGAGGAGCUCGUGGAGCACAUUCGACUCCAGCGAGAGCUGAUUCACCGUCUUCACCGGCGCGUCCUCGAGCUGGAGAGCUCCCUGGAGAGCGUGUACACGUGCUCUAACGACGGCGGGGAUGCCGCCGGUGCCGAUGGGCAGUCAGCAGCACCGUCUGAGCGGCAGCGCGCCGUCCUUUCCAGCAACCUUCGCCAUGGCCCGUCGCCUCCGAUAGUCCAACAGAGCGUACACGGAGUUUCUGGCGGCGCGCCGCCGGCAAAGGCGAGGACGUACCCCCUCGCGACGUUUUGCGAGACGCCACUGGGCUUCAGCGAACGCUGGAGCACCGAUAAUGAUGAGGCGGCGGCGGCUCCGGAGCCGCGCUGUCGACCCCCACGCCCGCACAUCGAAGAGAAGGCGCCCGUCGCCUUUGCGCGCUUGUCUUCUUCACUGCAGCGGCAAACGGGUGAGCCUGCGGCGAUGGCGACGUCCGCCAAUGGCACUGAUACUGCUCCUGAGCCGUUUUCUGCGGCUGCUAUCUCCACUGGGCUCACUUCAUCUUCGGUAGACCACCCCACGGUGUUGGAGGGGAUCAAGGAGAUCAAUUACGUGCUUGCCGCCCACCGGGCCGGUCGUCCAGCCCUGCCGCUACCGGUGGUAGAGGAACUGGAGGAUAUUCGUACGAGGCUGCUGCAGGGUUUCAAGCAGACGCACAGUAUGGGUGACAGAGACAACGGAACGGCACACGAGGCGGCGACGGCACGUCAGGCCUACGGUGCACUGCCAAGGGGCGAGGAAAUAAUGCUUAACGCGGGCCCAUCGGAUCUCUUGUUCGAGCGCCGUGCGGAUAACUUCCGCGCCGCAACUCACGUGUGCCCACGCUGGGUCUCGCCAGACUCGUCGAGGGUCGUGUACGGCACAUCACCACGUCGUCACCAGUAGCGUUGCACAGGGAGGGGAAGGAGAAGGGUCGACAAGACGCCGUUCGAGGCUGCUCAUCAGCCCACGUGCGGCUCAUGUGGCCGUCCUCCUCCCUCUCUCGCCCUGGCCACCGUUCCAAGAGGACAGAGACGCACGUCGGCUCCGGUAUGCUGCCGCCGUUAGAGGCUCUUCGUGCGCAUCCAUGUGUUUACCCUUUCAGCAAAAACGUGCAUGAAAGAAGUCGCUCGCGCUCGGGUGGGCGGAGUGCGGAUACACAACAACG